CAGUAGCCGCGGGAAUACGUAGGGUGCAAGCGUUAAUCGGAAUUACUGGGCGUAAAGCGUGCGCAGGCGGUUAUAUAAGACAGAUGUGAAAUCCCCGGGCUCAACCUGGGAACUGCAUUUGUGACUGUAUAGCUAGAGUACGGCAGAGGGGGAUGGAAUUCCGCGUGUAGCAGUGAAAUGCGUAGAUAUGCGGAGGAACACCGAUGGCGAAGGCAAUCCCCUGGGCCUGUACUGACGCUCAUGCACGAAAUCGUGGGGAGCAAACAGGAUUAGAUACCCCCGUAGUCCCUGUCUCUUAUAC
rnacentral:rRNA from 1 species